rnacentral:rRNA from 1 species
AUACGGAGGGUGCAAGCGUUAUUCGGAAUCACUGGGCGUAAAGGACGCGUAGGCGGGUUGGCAAGUCAGAUGUGAAAUCCUACAGCUUAACUGUAGAACUGCAUUUGAAACUGCUAACCUUGAGUAUGGGAGGGGGAGAUGGAAUUAGUGGUGUAGGGGUAAAAUCCGUAGAUAUCACUAGGAAUACCGAAAGCGAAGGCGAUCUCCUGGAACAUAACUGACGCUAGGGCGUGAAAGCGUGGGGAGCAAACAGGAUUAGAAACCCCAGUAGUCC